UACGGGGGGGGCAAGCGUUGUUCGGAAUUACUGGGCGUAAAGGGUUCGUAGGUGGCCCGCUAAGUCAGACGUGAAAUCCCUCAGCUUAACUGGGGAACUGCGUCUGAGACUGGCGAGCUCGAGUGCAGGAGAGGAACGCGGAAUUCCAGGUGUAGCGGUGAAAUGCGUAGAUAUCUGGAGGAACACCGGUGGCGAAGGCGACGUCCUGGACCGGCAUUGACGCUGAGGCGCGAAAGCCAGGGGAGCGAACGGG
rnacentral:rRNA from 1 species